CUGUUGGGCUGGACCUCAAGUGCAGAGGAAGGCCCAGCCCAACUGGGGGUCACCUCCCACCUCCGCUACAGGGGAGGCAGGAGACGUGGCGACCAUCGGCCAUGGCGCCGCGGUCUCGUGGCACGCAUCCGCGGCGUCCCCCAUCGCCUACAAGUCAUCGGGCGCACCUCCCUCCCUCCCCGGAACCCUAGCCCCCAAAUCACAAUCGUUUCCUUUCCCCUCUAGUUCGAUUUGAACUUAUCAGAUCGCGCGGUGACCGCGGCCCCCUCGUCGUUGUCGUGACCACCGUUGUCGUUGUCGCGCAGGAAGACGUCUAGGAGGAUCCCCGCGUUUGGCUUCUUCCGUUCAGGGAACCAGCUCGAGCCGGGGUGUCGCGUAGCCACAGCCGUCGUCGCCUUCUUCGUUCGGCAGCCCACAUCUCGUCGCCCCAACCGCUGCUCUGGCCCGUCCCCGACCUCCAUAGCCUCGUCGUCGCGCUCAGGUCAUAGGUCCAGAUGGAAUAACUGAUGUCGCGGUGGGUGCAACUGUGGCAGAGAUGUCCUCAUCAUCCCCCCCUUCUUGAAUUGAAGUCGCCCUCGACGGUACCUCUUCAUGCUCUCCCAAAUAAGGUUUUAAGUCUGCAACAUUAAAUGUGGGACUAACCCGAAAUUCUGCAGGCAGAUCAAGCUUAUACGCAUUCUCAUUAAUUUUUUCUAUCACCUUAAAAGGUCCAUCUGCACGAGGCAUUAAUUUUGACUUUCGUAAAUCAGGGAAACGGUCUUUUCGCAAAUGUAACCAUACUAAAUCACCUGGUUCAAACACAAGACUUUUCCUACCCUGACUACCAGCAAGUUUAUACUUGGCA